GAUGAAGAACGUAGCGAAAUGCGAUAAGUAAUGUGAAUUGCAGAAUUCAGUGAACCAUCGAAUCUUUGAACGCACAUUGCGCCCGGCAGUAAUCUGCCGGGCAUGCCUGUCCGAGCGUCAUUUCUCCCCUCGAGCGCAGCUUUCCCCCCCGGGGGAGGGCCGCGCCCGGUGUUGGGGCGCUACGGAGGAGCCCAGCGCUCCCCCGUAGGCCCCGAAAUGUAGUGGCGGUCCCGCCGCGGCGCCCCCUGCGUAGUAGUUUUACAACUCGCAUCGGGUCCCGGCGGAGGCCAGCCGUCAAACCCCCCAACUUCAAUGGUUUGACCUCGGAUCAGGUAGGGUACCCGCUGAACUUAAGCAUAUCAAUAAGCGGAGGA
rnacentral:misc_RNA from 1 species